CUCCACCAUACGUGCUCACGGCGCACGUUGAGCCUCCGUUAACAGUUUGUAACAGAAAUAAAAUGGAUUAUGGAUCAUUUUAUUGUAGCUGACUUUACAAGAUGACUUCUCUAUUGGCUGUUGAAACAGGUGACA